GAUGAACGCUGGCGGCGUGCCUAAUACAUGCAAGUCGAGCGAACGGACGAGAAGCUUGCUUCUCUGAUGUUAGCGGCGGACGGGUGAGUAACACGUGGAUAACCUACCUAUAAGACGGGGAUAACUUCGGGAAACCGUAGCUAAUACCGGAUAAUAUUUUGAACCGCAUGGUUCAAAAGUGAAAGACGGUCUUGCUGUCACUUAUAGAUGGAUCCGCGCUGCAUUAGCUAGUUGGUAAGGUAACGGCUUACCAAGGCAACGAUGCAUAGCCGACCUGAGAGGAUGAUCGGCCACACUGGAACUGAGACACGGUCCAGACUCCUACGGGAGGCAGCAGUGGGGAAUCUUCCGCAAUGGGCGAAAGCCUGACGCAGCAACGCCGCGUGAGUGAUGAAGGUCUUCGGAUCGUAAAGCUCUGUUAUUAGGGAAGAAAAGAUGUAUAUGAAACUGUGCACAUCUUGACGGUACCUAAUCAGAAAGCCACGGCUAACUACGUG
rnacentral:rRNA from 1 species